rnacentral:rRNA from 1 species
CCCUUAGAUGUCCUGGGCCGCACGCGCGUUACACUGAUGCAUUCAACGAGCUUAUAACCUUGGCCGAGAGGCCUGGGCAAGCUUGUUAACGUGCAUCGUGAUAGGGAUAGAUUAUUGAAAUUAUUAAUCUUGAACGAGGAAUUCCUAGUAAACGCAGAUCAUCAAUCUGCAUUGAUUACGUCCCUGCCCUUUGUACACACCGCCCGUCGCACCUACCGAUUGGAUGGUCCGGUGAAGCCUCGGGAUUGUGGUUCUUGCCGCUUUAUUGUGGCGUGACCGCGAGAACUUGUCUAAACCUUAUCAUCUAGAGGAAGGUGAAGUCGUAACA